UUUUUUUUUUUUUUUUUUUUUUUGGCAUCGCGCUCCUGGCGCAUUCAGCCAGACGAGUAAAGCAGGGAAACGGAAUUAAAGGAUUACAUUAUAACGGGUAAGACGGAAUUUUGGAAAAGGAUCAGGAAAAGGUAAAUUAUAGGCAGUUAGAGUUUAAUGUUAUGACGUGAAAUAAAUGAAUACAAUGAUUUAAAUAUAUAUGGAGAAGAAUCAUUAAUAUACAGGAGUGUUGUAAUAGAUGUGGGAAACGGAACUUUAAAAUCUGACAGCUGUCUUAAUAGUAUAGAACGAUCAUAAAGUUUACAUGCAAAGAAUAUAUGGUUAAGAUCAGCGGGAUCAGCUCCACAAGUACAUGCAGAACUGGCCACGCGAUUUAGUAGUUUGAGGUGUUCCGGUGUACAUACGUGACCCAAUCUCAUUCGAAUUAACAUACUAGUUGCAGGUUUUGGCAGAGAGAUUUUAGCAAACCAAGGUUUGGCAGGAAUUGAUUUUUGAAUGCUUCGAUAAUGUAACGCAGCAGCACCUGCACCAGAUGUCCAUAAAUUCCUCCAUUCCUUUCGUAGGUAUAAUUUAGGCAGUGCCAACAGGUCUUCAGCAACAUUCUUAAACGGAAACAUGUCCCCACAACUAAUGGCAUCUCGAGCUAAAUCAUCCACCCUUUCAUUACCUUUAAUCCCUCUGUGUCCAGGGAUCCAGGCAAUGGAAACCGAAUACCCUUUAAUGUGACAUUUUAACAAUAGGCUACGGAUUUGAUAAAUAAUUGGGUUAUUAGAUUUAGAUUUGAAAGGAAAUUUACAUAUUGCCUGUAGUGAACUUAGGGAAUCUGAGAAAAUAAUUGUUUUUUUGAGAUGCAUUAUAAUGAUGAACUCUAUUGCUUUCAGGAUUCCAAAGCACUCACCACUGUACACAGAGGAUUCUGGUGGCAACUUUAUUUUUUGGUAAAUAUUAGAUUGGGUGUGGAGAACACCAAUGCCAACACAACCAUUCUCUGACGUCUUAGAAGCAUCUGUGUACAUAUGAUGAGCACCCAGGCCAUCUGUUCCAAUGAAUCCCAGGAAUUGUUGAUUUUGUUCAACAUCAUUCUUGGAGACACCAAUAUCGAGGAGAACUGGAGGAAUAAGUGUCAGAGAAUCAUAUUCAUAUUGGAAAAUGGGAAGUGUUGAAGAGCUAACAGUGGGAGCUGAUAUAGAUUUAAGUUUUUGAAAGCUUUUUACUAAACAAGGAGGACUCUUGUGUUUCCAAUAGUUGGAAGUAGUUAUUUGAAGCACAAGGUUAGACAGGAUAAUCCAGAGUUGGUGAUUAGAGAAUUGGGAACAACGGAAAAUAAAUCUAUCACUAAGAUAUUGGCGUCGUAAAUGAAGUGGAGGCUCAACACACUCAACUUGCAUGGCAUUGAUAGGGCUUGAAUUCAUGGCCCCACAAAUCAAUCUGAGUGCUUUGGAUUGAAUGCGAUCUAGUUUUUGGAAGCCAGCUACAUAUCCUGGCUCUAACAAAAAUGUCCCAUAAUCUAAAAUACUUCUAAUCAAGGCAUUAUACAUGAGUUUCAUGCAAAAAGGAUGUGAACCCCACCAAACUCCUGAAACACACCUGAGGAUAUUAAUAUUUUUUUCACAUUUAGAAACUAUGUGAUCACAAUGUGGAAGACCCGUUAAUUUAUUAUCUAAAAUAACACCUAGGAAUUUGGUUUUAUCUUUAAUGGAAAUGGAGCAGUUAUUAAAUUGCACAUUGAUCGGAGGAGGAAACAUUCUUCUAGUAAACAAAACUACAACACUUUUAUGCACUGAAAGUUGCAGACCAUUUGAAUCUAACCAUAACUUCAAUAAGCCCAAAGAAGAAGUGACUGAUCUACUGGCUUGUUCAAUAGAAAGGUUUGGCGAAUAUAAUAAUAAAUCAUCAGCAUAUUGCAAGACUCUAACCGUGUCAUUUAAGGAUGAUUCUAAAUCAAAUGUGUAGAUAUUAUAUAGCAAAGGACUUAAUACGGAUCCUUGGGGAAGGCCUCUCCACACUAAGCGGGAAAUCCUAUUGUUGUCAUCUAUGAGAAGGCUAAUGGACCUUUCUGAUAAAAGGUUUAUUAUGAAAUUGGUUAACAUUACUGGUAUAGCUAAUUUGUGAAGUUUUGCUUGUAACACUGAGACUAAGACAUUAUCAUAAGCGGCGCUUAUGUCAAGAAAAGCAGCUACUAUAGACUCAUUUCUAGAAAAUGACAAUCGAAUAUCUGAAAUUAAAAUACCCAAGCUAUCAUAAGUAGACCUACCUUUUCGGAAGCCAAAUUGACUAUGAGAAAGUAAUUGGUUUUUUUCUACAAAAUAUUCUAAUCUGUUUUUAACUAAAUGUUCUGCUACUUUAACAAAUACUGAGGAAAGGGCAAUUGGACGAUAAGAAGAAACAUCUGACACUGGUUUGAACGGCUUUAAAAUAGGAAUAACUAUUUGAGAUCUCCAAGAAUCAGGAAUAUUACCAGACUGGAUAACAGAAUUUAUUAUAUUUAGAUAAUAAGAAAGAAUACCAUCACUGGCAUUUGCUAAAAAGGAAUAAGGAACUCCAUCUUCCCCAGCCUCCUUACGGUUUCUGAUUGCUUGAGUGCAAUCAUCAUCCCACCAAGGCGGAGAAGGUAUUUUACCUGAUGCACUGUUUUUAACCGGGAAAAUUUCAUCAGCUGCUUCGGUCAUUAUCUGAGCUAAUGCAACUGAACAACUAACUACAUUACUAUCAUCUAUGGACGGUAAACACAACAAUUUCUCCUCUACAUGGGUUUUGAAAAGUUUCCAAUCAACAUUACUUAAAUUAUACUUAAGCCUAGGGCUAGGUUUUGGAGAUGGCGGAAUAGAAGAUGGAAAUGUAAUAAUGAUAGGGUAGUGAUCACUCCCAUAUGUUGAUUCCAGAGUAUGCCAAGUGAGAGAAGCCGCAAGAUCAACUGAACAAAUUGAUAAAUCAAUAGCGCUAAUUGACUCUGUUGGAGCUGUUCGGCGGGUUGGAGAACCGUUGUUUAAAACACAAAGAUUGUGUUGGUCUAUGAUAUGAAUGAGCCGAUCUCCAUUAUAAUUAGAUGAUGAACUACCCCAAACCUGGUGAUGUGAGUUAAAAUCUCCUAAAAUUAAAACAGGCCUAGGAAGAGAAGAAAUUAUUUGUUCAAGCUCAACAAAAAUAGAUGAUGAUGGAUGAGGAAUAUAUACAGAAAUGAUACAGAUGUUAUUUACAAUGGCAGCAACAAUUGAAAAAUCAUCGCUAUGGGAUGGAAGAUGAAAAGGUGAAUAUGAUAUGGAAUUCCUGACAAGUAGAGCUACUCCGCCCCAUCCGCCAGGAGUGCCAGGUCGCGAAGGACGGUCCUCUCUGAGACAUGAAUAUCCCGUGACUCUAAGAAGAGCCCCAGGCUUGAGCCAUGUCUCAGAGAGGGCAAAAACAAAUGAGGGUUGCCACGAAACGGCACCAUUAACUGUAACUCUAUGAUUCAAACGCCGAACUUUAAGUACUUUUCCACACCCAGUGGGCACGGAAAUGUUGGACACUAUUUCCUCCUCCGACCACUGUGAUGGAAUACCACGGACUAGGCCCAUGCGCGUUACUGUAAAUGAUGGUAUGUAUGCUGUUAAAUUUUCGUUGUCAAGUUGAGGAUUGGUUACAAACAAAUUAGCAUCGAUAUGAUUUGCAAAAGCCAUGGAAAUUCUUGUCCUACCAAUACGUUUCACGCUGCCAUUUAUAAUAUUUUUGAAGCCGUUUUUUACUAAGAACCUACCAAAAGACACCGGGUGCAGGGACGAGUUAGGAUCAGUUUGUUUUAAUUGAACAUGCACCGUAAACGGUGCAACAUCAGCUGUUGAAAAUAAAUUUCUGCCAACUUUUGUUGUUUGAAUAUCAGAAACUACUUUAUUUGUGUCAGUAUUUGUUAUAGAAUGAGCUUGGG